CUGAUCAUCUGAUCAAUAAUUUACAACUCUACAACAAGUUAUGAAGAGGCAUAAAUCAUUAAUGUACCUCAUUGUUAUUGCCACUGAUAAUCUCAUGAAAUAUUGUUGUUUGACUUUUAUUUUACAAUAUGAAUAAUCAUUGCGAUAUGUUGCUUUUAUUAUCAUUAUUAUUACUUCAAAUUUGCACGGUAUAUCUAUAAUUGUUGUACUAAUAUAUGUAUAUGUAUGUAUGUAUUUGUAACGAACUGAUACAAAUAAUGUGACAACGAUGCGUGCGUUUAUAUAACGGUGAGCAUUGAAAGUAUCAUCAUUGAAACGUCGGCAGUCUUUCGGACAACACUAUUAAUUAUUUUAAAAAUGAAAGGAUUCAUUGCUAUUUUCGUUGUUAUUCUCGCUUCUGCAUAUCUUCAAGUUUCAGCUGGACAAGAAAUGUGCCCACCCUGAAGAAAUUGUCUUAAAGAAGCUGAAGCAUGCG